ACAAAAAAUUUGAGGUCUCGAAUUAUGCUAAAAUACAUAAAAAUACAAAUGGAUCCCAAAAUUGGCCUGAAGAGGGGACUUUUAAUUAUAGAAAAUUAAAGGCUUUGAGAUUAAACUUUCAGUAGGAGACAAGGAAGCUAGCAACUGAAGAGAGUUUGGAACCAUGCUCCUUCUUUCUCAAAGCUGGAAGUCAGAAACCCAAGAUGUUUCUUCUCUCUACUUCUCACCAACCCUACCCAUUGUGCAAAUGUGGAACACUGAAUAAACAAUCUCAACCAGCAACCGGAUGCUUGAGCAGAAUUUCAUAAAACAAAGAGCUUUAAGAAUGUCCAGAGAGAAGAAAGGCAACUGGAAGGUCUACUGAGGAUGUUCUGAAGCCAAGAGAAUGAAUGCUUGUGAUGAAGGUAGAAGUACCUUCAAGUAGGAGCCUUUACCUAGAGUUAAGACUAGAAAGCAGAGUUCAGACAUGACUGAGAAUGCUUCAAGACAUAAAUAUUAUUGUUAUUGUUUGGUUGUUUCCUACUCUU